UACGUAGGGUGCAAGCGUUUAAUCGGAAUUACUGGGCGUAAAGCGUGCGCAGGCGGUUCUAUAAGACAGAUGUGAAAUCCCCGGGCUCAACCUGGGAACUGCAUUUGUGACUGUAGAGCUGGAGUACGGGUAGAGGGGGAUGGAAUUCCGCGUGUAGCAGUGAAAUGCGUAGAUAUCGGAAGGAACACCAGUGGCGAAAAGCGGCUUCCUGGUCCGACACCGACGUUCAGGCACGAAAGCGUGGGGAGCAAACAGGG
rnacentral:rRNA from 1 species